GUGAGCCCAGCCUGGGGAUCUCUCACCUCUUGCUGAGAUGCGCCCAGAGCCUAUCAAGUGAUGGAGUCUCCCCCAGUUUGCAGGCUUCAGUGAGGACAACGAGGAGCCCACAGUCAACCCGCAGGGACAUACAUCACGCGAAAGAAAAAUGUCUUUGUGAUUUUAAGCCACUAAGAUUUCGGGGUUGUUGAGCAACAUAACCUAGCUCAUCCUGACCAUCCACCAUCUCUCCAAGCAAGACAUCCCGUCAUCGUCCCUGAUUUACUUGUGAAGAAACUGAGGUCUUCAAAAUCGUUGUGGGCCUUUUCACCUCGGAGAUUCACAUUCUUCGGUUCUGCAAGAUUUUCUUCUUUCCCCAUGAGUGUACUUCACUGGACUGGAAGCUUUGUGGAGGCAGGGGCCAGACAGAUCUUGCUCCUCAUUCAUUUAUGGUGCCUAGUGUAGUGUAGUACUUGGAGCCCAAUGUCUAUGUGAAUGAAUGAAUGAAUGAAUGCAGGAGAAGAACAUGUACACUUUGGG
rnacentral:lncRNA from 1 species